rnacentral:misc_RNA from 1 species
GAAAUGCGAUAAGUAGUGUGAAUUGCAGAAUUCAGUGAAUCAUCGAAUCUUUGAACGCACAUUGCGCCCCUUGGUAUUCCAUGGGGCAUGCCUGUUCGAGCGUCAUUUGUACCUUCAAGCUCUGCUUGGUGUUGGGUGAUUGUCUAUCUUUUUAGACUCGCCUUAAAGUCAUUGGCAGCCGGCAUAUUGGCCUGGGAGCGCAGCACAAGUCGCGCUUCUUGUCAUGAAUGUUGGCGUCCAGUAAGUCUACAUAUUUUGCUCUUGACCUCGGAUCAGGUAGGGAUACCCGCUGAACUUAA